ACAGAUCGUUCAGAGUUUGAUCCUGGCUCAGGAUGAACGCUGGCGGCGUGCUUAACACAUGCAAGUCGAACGAAGCACUUUAGUUCGAUCCCCUCGGGGUGAUUCUAAAGUGACUUAGUGGCGGACGGGUGAGUAACGCGUGGGUAACCUGCCUCGUACAGGGGGAUAACAGUUAGAAAUGACUGCUAAUACCGCAUAACCCGCUAAGGUCGCAUGACCUAGACGGAAAAGAUUUAUCGGUACGAGAUGGACCCGCGUCUGAUUAGCUAGUUGGUGAGGUAACGGCUCACCAAGGCGACGAUCAGUAGCCGGCCUGAGAGGGUGACCGGCCACAUUGGGACUGAGACACGGCCCAA
rnacentral:rRNA from 1 species